UGGUUAAGUGAAUAAGGGCGUACGGUGAAUGCCUUGGCACUAGGAGCCGAUGAAGGACGGGACGAACACCGAUAUGCUUCGGGGAGCUGUAAGUAAGCUUUGAUCCGGAGAUUUCCGAAUGGGGGAACCUCAUUGUUUUUAUCGACAAUGGUCCACUCAGUGAACACAUAGCUGAGUGGAAGGUAGACGUGGUGAACUGAAACAUCUCAGUAGCCACAGGAAGAGAAAGAAAAAUCGAUUUCCCGAGUAGCGGCGAGCGAAACGGAAAGAGGCCAAACCAGCGUGCUUGCAUGCUGGGGUUGUAGGACUGAUGGACGGGAGUGAAUGAGCUAGUCGAACGCCAUGGAAAGGGCGAUCAGAGAGGGUGACAAUCCCGUAGGCGAAAGCUCAGCCACCUCAUUCAGUAUCCUGAGUACGGCGGUACACGUGAAAUUCCGUCGGAAUCCGCCAGGACCAUCUGGCAAGCCUAAAUACUCCCUAGUGACCGAUAGUGAACCAGUACCGUGAGGGAAAGGUGAAAAGCACCCCGGAAGGGGAGUGAAAGAGUACCUGAAACCGUAUGCCUACAAGCAGUCAGAGCCCGUUAAGGGGUGAUGGCGUACUUUUUGUAGAACGGACCGGCGAGUGACGAUAGCAAGCAAGGUUAAGCUGAAGAAGCGGAGCCACAGCGAAAGCGAGUCUGAAGAGGGCGUUGAGUUUGUUGUCGUCGACCCGAAACCAAGUGAUCUACUCAUGUCCAGGCUGAAGGUGUGGUAAAACACACUGGAGGGCCGAACCCACGUCUGUUGAAAAAGGCGGGGAUGAGGUGUGGGUAGCGGUGAAAUUCCAAUCGAACUUGGAGAUAGCUGGUUCUCUCCGAAAUAGCUUUAGGGCUAGCCUCGGAUGAUGACUAUUGGAGGUAGAGCACUGUUUGAUCGAGGGGUCCAUCCUGGAUUACCGACAUCUGAUAAACUCCGAAUGCCAAAUAGUUUAGUCCGGGAGUCAGACUGCGAGUGAUAAGAUCCGUAGUCGAAAGGGAAAGAGCCCAGACCACCAGCUAAGGUCCCAAAGUUUCAGUUAAGUGGAAAAGGAUGUGGGGUUGCUUAGACAACUAGGAUGUUGGCUUAGAAGCAGCCAUCAUUGAAAGAGUGCGUAAUAGCUCACUAGUCGAGUGACCCUGCGCCGAAAAUGUACCGGGGCUAAACUGAACACCGAAGCUGUGGAUCCGUAGGAUGGUAGGAGAGCGUUCUAUAGGCAGAGAAGCAUGAUCGUGAGGACAUGUGGAGCGUAUAGAAGUGAGAAUGCCGGUAUGAGUAGCGAAAGACGGGUGAGAAUCCCGUCCACCGAAUGACUAAGGUUUCCUGGGGAAGGCUCGUCCUCCCAGGGUUAGUCGGGACCUAAGCCGAGACCGAAAGGGAUAGGCGAUGGACAACAGGUUGAGAUUCCUGUACUUGUUUGAUUUGUUUGAGCGAUGGAAGGACACAGAAGGCUAAGCGGAGCGCGGAGAUGGAAAAACGCGUCCAAGCAAUGAGUGAGAAGGUGAGUGAAAGGCUUGCCUCAGACUUCAUGAGUUGUGACGGGGAGGGAAGUUUAGUACCGAAGCCGCCGACGUCACGCUGUCAAGAAAAGUUUCUAGUGAGAAUCAAACAACCCGUACCGCAAACCGACACAGGUAGUCGAGUGGAGAACACUAAGGUGAGCGAGCGAACUCUCGUUAAGGAACUCGGCAAAAUGACCCCGUAACUUCGGGAGAAGGGGUGCUGACCGCAAGGUCAGCCGCAGUGAAUAGGCCCAAGCGACUGUUUAUCAAAAACAUAGGUCUCUGCCAAAUCGAAAGAUGAUGUAUAGAGGCUGACGCCUGCCCGGUGCUGGAAGGUUAAGAGGAAGGGUUAGCGUAUGCGAAGCUCUGAAUUGAAGCCCCAGUAAACGGCGGCCGUAACUAUAACGGUCCUAAGGUAGCGAAAUUCCUUGUCAGGUAAGUUCUGACCCGCACGAAAGGCGUAACGAUUUGGGCACUGUCUCAACGAGAGGCUCGGUGAAAUUGUAGUACCAGUGAAGAUGCUGGUUACCCGCGACAGGACGGAAAGACCCCAUGGAGCUUUACUGUAGGUUGAUAUUGAAUGUUUGUGCCACAUGUACAGGAUAGGUAGGAGCCAUCGAAGUCGGGACGCUAGUCUCGAUGGAGGCACUGGUGGGAUACUACCCUUGUGGGAUGACCAUUCUAACCCGCGACCAUUAGCUGGUCGGGAGACAGUGUCAGUCAGGCAGUUUGACUGGGGCGGUCGCCUCCUAAAGUGUAACGGAGGCGCCCAAAGGUUCCCUCAGAAUGGUUGGAAAUCAUUCGCAGAGUGUAAAGGCAGAAGGGAGCUUGACUGCGAGACCUACAAGUCGAGCAGGGACGAAAGUCGGGCUUAGUGAUCCGGUGGUUCCGCAUGGAAGGGCCAUCGCUCAACGGAUAAAAGCUACCCUGGGGAUAACAGGCUUAUCUCCCCCAAGAGUUCACAUCGACGGGGAGGUUUGGCACCUCGAUGUCGGCUCAUCGCAUCCUGGGGCUGAAGUCGGUCCCAAGGGUUGGGCUGUUCGCCCAUUAAAGCGGUACGCGAGCUGGGUUCAGAACGUCGUGAGACAGUUCGGUCCCUAUCCGUCGCGGGCGUUGGAAAUUUGAGAGGAGCUGUCCUUAGUACGAGAGGACCGGGAUGGACACACCGCUGGUGUACCAGUUGUUCCACCAGGAGCAUGGCUGGGUAGCUAUGUGUGGACGGGAUAAGCGCUGAAAGCAUCUAAGCGUGAAGCCCCCCUCAAGAUGAGAUUUCCCAUACUUUAAAAGUAGUAAGACCCCUGAAAGACGAUCAGGUUGAUAGGUUUGGAGUGGAAGCUUAGCAAUAAGUGGAGCGGACAAAUACUAAUCGGUCGAGGACUUAUCCAAA
rnacentral:rRNA from 1 species